rnacentral:rRNA from 1 species
GACAGAGGUUGCAAACGUUGUUCGGAAUUACUGGGCCUAAAGCGCACGUAGGUGGUCCGCUAAGUCGGAUGUGAAAUUCCCCGGCUCAACCGGGGAACGGCAAUCGAUACUGGCGGGCUUGAGGUCCGGAGGGGUGAGUGGAACUCCUGGUGGAGCGGUGAAAUGCGUAGAUAUCAGGAGGAACACCAGUGGCGAAAGCGGCUCACUGGCCGGAAUCUGACACUGAGGUGCGAAAGCUAGGGUAGCAAACGGG